GACGAACGCUGGCGGCGUGCCUAAUACAUGCAAGUCGAACGAACCGCGACUAGGUGCUUGCACUUGGUCAAGGUGAGUGGCGAACGGGUGAGUAACACGUGGGUAACCUACCUCAUAGUGGGGGAUAACAGUCGGAAACGACUGCUAAUACCGCAUAGGACAUAGGAUCACAUGAUCCAGUGAGGAAAGGUGGCGCAAGCUAUCGCUAAGAGAUGGACCCGCGGUGCAUUAGCUAGUUGGUAGGGUAAAGGCCUACCAAGGCGAUGAUGCAUAGCCGACCUGAGAGGGUGAUCGGCCACAUUGGGACUGAGGCACGGCCCAAACUCCUACGGGAGGCAGCAGUAGGGAAUCUUCCGCAAAGGACGCAAGUCUGACGGAGCAACGCCGCGUGAGUGAAGAAGGUCUUCGGAUCGUAAAGCUCUGUUGUUAGAGAAGAACAGCGCAUAGAGUAACUGUUAUGCGUGUGACGGUAUCUAACCAGAAAGCCACGGCUAACUACGUG
rnacentral:rRNA from 1 species